AGAAAAAGGAAAUUUAUAAAGGUCCUACUAGAAGUACAACAGAACUUUGGCAAUGAAGACUUUUCACGGUUUUAUUAUUCAAGGUCUAUGGAUUAUAUAGCGGACCAAGGAGAACAGCUCUUAAUGAGUGGGAUUCCCUUAAUCACAUCAUGGGAGUGAAGCAAAAAAAGGACUACGGUGAAGAUGUAUUGAAAGUUCUACCACACUGGAGGAAUGCAAUACCCCAUUCAGGAGGUGAUUUUCCUAUUGUGGAAGUUGCUUGCCAGCUCUAAUUUUGAAUGAACA